rnacentral:miRNA from 1 species
CACUGCACUCCAGCCUGACAUU